CCACUCCCCAGGUGCCCACAAAUGAAGCACUUCUACCCAGCAGCCAGGGAGAGGGCGAUUGUGUUUACUUUGCUACCCAUGGAAAAUGAAGGAAUAGAAGAGAGAGGGAGCCAUGGUCACAAAGCCCAGCUGCUGUGCUUUGAGAGAGCCUGCCAUCGUGGAGACUAAGAAGAUGAGGUACCCAGUGAUCUGGUCACAAGUCCCCCCUCUGCAGCCAUGGGAAUGAGAUGGAAGAGGCGGCACGUCCACUCCUGCCUCAGCUCUCAAGACAUUCAGAUUCCUCUUCUGCCUUUUGGAAAGCCCACUUUUGAAUCCAUAGUCAGCAGCCGUGGGAAGAGUCUGAAGACCCAGAAAAGACUCUGGAGAGAGAUUCUGAGAGCAUAGAGAGAGGAGAGAACCAAAACGGAGCCAUUACCACCAGAGAAUAGGCACAGAAAUACCAUGGUCAUGGUUCCUCUACGAAAGACCAGUUACCCACUGAAUUCAGGUGACUUCUCUGAGGUGAAGCCAGCCAGGCAGAAGAAUUACCCAGCCCAGCCCAGCCCUGUCCUCCUUCACCACCCAGAGGAUUGAUUGUUCUCUGAAAUUAGUUUAUGGAUCAUCAGGACAGGUUAUAGAUGGACACAUCCAAAAUUAACUCAACAUGUGUUUUCUCUCCACUUAAAGACUUAGUGAAGCCCUAGCAUUGGCCUGCUUCUCUGUUUCCUAGGGAGACAAAGCUCCAACAGCCGACCUUGUUUCUGGAGCAUGAGCCUGUCUUUUCCGACCACCAAGUUCUCAUGGAAACGCACAUGCAAAUCACCAUGUCUCAGAAGCGCUGCAUUCCAGUAGCAUAGCGGGGCUUGAAUGUGGCUGUUUCCAAGUUUCUUUGCCCUCCAAGAAGGGAGGGUUCUUGCUCUGUGGUUGCCAGUACCUGGACUUCCCUUUUGGCAGAAUCUAAGCAAUGGGCAGAUUUUCCCCAAGAAAAACAACUGGGGCGAGGAGGGGCAUGAGAUCAGACUGUACUCCGAGGAGCAUAAAUGGGGGUGUCGGGGUGCCGGGAGAGACUGGAGAGGAGAGAUGUGCUAUCUGGAUGUGAGAGGAAGGCAAAUAUGGAGAGAAGACAGCAAGCUGUCAGCCACUGAAAAGAGUGGGAGACCCCGAGCCAGGUGCGUGUCAGGGAAGGGCUCUGUAGUGCGGAGCAGAGACCAGGUAACAGCUUAGAGCCGCAGACGCAGGCAGUGUGCAAAACAGAGGGCAGGGGACGGACAAACAGGUUUUGCUAAGAGCAUUGUCCUGCCUCCAUCGCUUAGAUCUUUUCUGAAAGACUAAGUAACAUGGUGAUUGUCUGAUUGGUAUGUGUUUGUGUGUGUGUAUGUGCUAGAGAGAGGGAGAGAGAGAAUGUGUUGGAAACGGAAGAGCUCUUUCUCAAGAACAUCCCCAAAGCCAGUAAUCAGCCACAGGGUUCCUCAUAGGACAAACCCUGUAUCAUUUAUUUUGCUAGAUGCAGUCUGGGGAAAGCACACUGACCUAAAAUUAUCUCAAUCAAAAGGUGUCAGCAAUCAGCUGAUGGCAUCCGCGAGAGAAGAGCGGCGACCCUGAACACAAGCUGAUUUCUGAGGGUUUCACCUCGUCCCUGUCGGGGCUGAUGCUGGCUGGAGACUUCCUUCAAAGACUUUCAAGGGUCAAAGGAGAUCAAAUGUUAGUGUCAACGAAAUGAACAAAAAUGGGGACAAAUGGCCCUAAUUUUACCCAAAUGGCUAUCAAUCCGUGAGAGGACAUUUUCAGUUGUAACUUAAUACAGAACAUGACAGAAUUCUGGAUCACCAGGUGAGGAGUGUUGGACUGGAACUUCCCGCUCCUGCGAAAGUCCGUUCCUGUUUCUCCAAACCCCACUCUCUCAGAGAAGCUGCCACAAAAACGGAAGGCUCCAAAAAGCCCAGUUUGACAUUCUUGGUGCCCACAGUAGCUUCCCCUCCCCCCAAACUCCACGUAAAGUUUGCCAGCUUGUGGAAGACAAGUCAUCACUCCUCAACUACAGGGCAGGUAAGCACCCUGUUUUAAUUCGGUCGUGUGAUUUCUCCUGCCCCUGCUCCCACCUUGAUCUCUGGAGAUGGAGAAGUCACCUGGAAGUUGCUUUGCUCAAAAUAAACCUGGUCUUUUACUUUUUCAAUUUGGUUUGAUCCUGCUUAUGGCAUCAGCAGAGACACCUACAUCGAGGUACAGAAAUCCUAUUGAGGAGGAAUGAGCCUGUAACCCCAGGACUUGAGACUCUGCACCAGGGCAUGGUACACUCCAGGCCAGUCUGAGGCACACCGGAAAACAGUAAGGUCCUUUCUUAAGAAAACAAAUGAAAAUUGCUGUUUCUCCAAUAGCACCCACAGAAAUUCAGAUAUGUUGUGGGGGUGUGGUGGGAAAAUGAUCAAGAAGAACACAGUCAUGUUUCCAGCAACUUUUAAGUGAGAAAAACAGGGGAUUUCUCUGUAUUUAGUUUACGGGAGGAUGUGUAAGCUAGCGUGGGUCUGUUUGCUGCCUUUUCCGUUGAAAGUGUGCAAAAGCUGAACCACGCUGGUCUCUAGCUAUAGUCUGACUUCGCAACAACAUUACUUAAACCCUACCUAUAUAACUAAAAAAAAAAAAAAACCUCACAAUAACCUUUUUGUCUAAAUCUCAUGUUUCAAGAGAAAACAGGAGGUUUCAAUAUCUUCCUUACCCCUCAAUACAUAUUUUGUUUUCCUGAUAUGUGUGCUCAGCUGGGUGGAAAAACCUAAGGUGACAUUUCAGUGUUGCCAGUCAUGUAUCCACAGGCUUCCUGAGAUUGGCACAUAGUUUUG